CACCUAUAUCUGGCUAUAUAUUUAUAAAGUACACAUAGUUUUGAGUAUAACUUGUUUAUGUCUUAUGUCGUUAUUAAGCCAUUCCAAAUUGGCCGUUUUUGUAUUGUACAUAUUUAUUUUAGUGCUUAGACAUAGAUUAACGUGUCCCUAAUAUUGGGUUAUUUUCAUUUAGCAUUUAAAGGUAUUGUACGGUUUGUACAGUUGGUACCAAAUAAAAAAAAACAAAGCUCUUAUUAUCUUGGUUAAUCUAUAGAGGAUGGCUAAAAAAUAACUGCAUUCCCGUUGACAGGGAGGUUUUGGGAUUAUACUGAGAAAAGUUGCUCAGUUACUAUGGGACCAACUCCGAAAUAGCGAAAUAAAAAUUUGGCUGUUUCAUACAUUUUGGCUGGUCCAUUUUGUAUGGAAGGGUAAAUUUUUUGUUCGCGAUUUCGGGGUUGGUCCCAUAGUAAAAGUUGCUCAGUAUAAUCCAAAACCCUCCCUGGCGACGGGAAUGGAAAUUAUUUUUUAGUCACCGUGUAUAAUAUGGUACACCGUGUACAACAUCUAAACGUCGCCGGGUUAAUAACUUACCUACCAAAACCAAAAUAAAUUGACAUACCUACGCUAUUUGCCAAAAUAACCCAUAAGUAUGAGUUUACUAAAUCGAUCUAGUAAUAUUUUGGGGGCCUAUUCUCAAUUUAGACUAAACGGUUUCAAACGGUCGAAUAACGAUCUACCUUUUGUUAUUAUUGUAAAUAUUAUCGUUUCGUUAUCUAAUAAACUUUAUAUUUUA